AGCUAAAUAUUGGCGAGAGACCGAUAGCGAACAAGUACUGUGAAGGAAAGAUG
rnacentral:rRNA from 11 species